GUAGGGAAUAUUGGGCAAUGGUCGGAAGACUGACCCAGCCAUGCCGCGUGCAGGAAGACGGCCCUCUGGGUUGUAAACUGCUUUUAUCUGGGAAGAAAAAGGCCAUGCGUGGCAAAUUGCCGGUACCAGAUGAAUAAGCACCGGCUAACUCCGUGCCAGCAGCCGCGGUAAUACGGAGGGUGCGAGCGUUGUCCGGAUUUAUUGGGUUUAAAGGGUGCGUAGGCGGCUGAUUAAGUCAGCGGUGAAAGACUUCGGCUUAACCGGAGCAGUGCCGUUGAUACUGGUUGGCUUGAGUGUCGGAGGGGUACAUGGAAUUGAUGUUGUAGCGGUGAAAUGCAUAGAUACCAUCAGGAACACCGAUAGCGAAGGCAUUGUACUGGCCGACAACUGACGCUGAUGCACGAAAGUGUGGGGAUCGAACAGGAUUAGAAACCCCGGUAGUCC
rnacentral:rRNA from 1 species